rnacentral:rRNA from 1 species
UACGAAGGGGGCUAGCGUUGCUCGGAAUUACUGGGCGUAAAGGGCGCGUAGGCGGAUAUCUAAGUUGGGGGUGAAAUCCCGGGGCUCAACCUCGGAAUUGCCUUCAAAACUGGAUAUCUUGAGUUCGGGAGAGGUGAGUGGAACUCCGAGUGUAGAGGUGAAAUUCGUAGAUAUUCGGAAGAACACCAGUGGCGAAGGCGACUCACUGGCCCGAUACUGACGCUGAUACACGAAAGCGUGGGGAGCAAACAGG